UACGGAGGGUGCAAGCGUUAAUCGGAAUUACUGGGCGUAAAGCGCACGUAGGUGGUUCGCUAAUUCAGCUGUGAAAUCCCCGGGCUCAACCUGGGACUUGCAGUUGAAACUGGUGAGCUAGAGUAGGGUAGAGGGGUGUGGAAUUCCAGGUGUAGCGGUGAAAUGCGUAGAUAUCUGGAGGAACAUCAGUGGCGAAGGCGACACCCUGGACUCAUACUGACACUGAGGUGCGAAAGCGUGGGGAGCAAAC
rnacentral:rRNA from 1 species